AAUUCAUCCAAGGUGACAUGGCAAAAACUGAGGGAUGAUCCAGGUGGCAAGGCUGGAAGCAAGGGAUGAGUUACAAGAGCCCACUCAUGAGGGGAAACAUCUCAGCAAUUCAAGAGUGCAGCUCUGAAGAGGAAGAUCAACCUACAAUAGGACUCAUCAACCCCUCCCAGAUAUAAUGACUGGAGCUGCAGCAGCCAUUUUGUCACCAUGAGACAAACAAAGACAACGAUAAGAAUGGUAGUAUAAAAUGGUAGGAGAAGCCUGAAGACAGUAGCAUUCAACCGUCUUCCAGUUGAGCCCCACCUGC